rnacentral:rRNA from 1 species
AGCAGCCGCGGUAAUUCCAGCUCCAAUAGCGUAUAUUAAAGUUGUUGCAGUUAAAAAGCUCGUAGUUGAAUUUCGGGGUCAGCAGGUUGGUCGUGCCAAUGGUAUGAACUGGCCUUGCUGAUUCCUCCCUCUUGAUGAGCCGUAAUGCCAUUAAUUUGGUGUUGCGGGGAAUCAGGACUGUUACUUUGAAAAAAUUAGAGUGUUUAAAGCAGGCAAGCGCUUGAAUACAUUAGCAUGGAAUAAUGAAAUAGGACGUUUGAUCCUAUUUUGUUGGUUUCUAGGAUUGACGUAAUGAUUAAUAGGGAUAGUUGGGGGCAUUAGUAUUCAAUUGUCAGAGGUGAAAUUCUUGGAUUUAUUGAAGACUAACUACUGCGAAAGCAUUUGCCAAGGAUGUUUUCAUUAAUCAAGAACGAAAGUUAGGGGAUCGAAGACGAUCAGAUACCGUCGUAGUCUUAACCAUAAACUAUGCCGACUAGGGAUCGGAUGAUGUUAAUUUUUUAAUGACUCA